UGCGUAGGCCGCACGGUAAGUCAGGUGUGAAAGCCCGGAGCUCAACUUCGGAAUUGCACCCGAUACUGCCGUGCUUGAGGACUGGAGAGGAGUCUGGAAUUCACAGUGGAGCAGUGAAAUGCGUAGAUAUUGUGAGGAACACUAGUGGCGAAGGCGAGACUCUGGACAGUUCCUGACGCUGAGGCACGAAGGCCAGGGGAGCAAACGG
rnacentral:rRNA from 1 species